rnacentral:rRNA from 1 species
UACAUGGGGUGCAAACGUUUGCUCGGAAUCAUUGGGCGUAAAGCGCGCGUAGGCGGUUACUUAAGUCGGAUGUGAAAGCCCUCGGCUUAACUGAGGAAGUGCAUCCGAAACUGAGUAGCUGGAGUACGAAAGAGGGUCGCGGAAUUCCCGGUGUAGAGGUGAAAUUCGUAGAUAUCGGGAGGAACACCGGUGGCGAAGGCGGCGACCUGGGUCGAGACUGACGCUGAGGCGCGAAAGCGUGGGGAGCAAACAGG